GAAGGAGGCAGUGAAGGGCAGGGCGGUUACUCACAGAUUCCUGGCCCAGGUGCGAAGGGACCUGGCAUCUGUCUGGUUUCCAGUCCCAAGAAAUACGGGGAUGGUCCUCAGACAGCUCGUCCUCAAGCCCUCCUCCCUAGCACUCAACAAAGGGCAGCUGGGAUUCUGAUUCUGAUCAUGAAACAAUGAUGCUUUCUGAGGUGUCCAAACACCAUCCUAUGGGUUCACCCAAGCAGGCUUCACUUUUAUUCUUUUCCAUAAAGUGUAUCUGUCCAACAACCAGGCUUGGGUAAUUCAAGAUUUGAGCCCUGUUAAAUGUUCACAUAAAUAAACAUGCAAACCAAGGCAGAAAAA